CAAUAAAUUAGUUUUGAAACUUGAAACAAGUACCUACUUUCCAUGAUUUGUAAUUUCUUUUCUGUUGGUGACAGUAAUCAAUCUAAGAUGUCCUUCUUUAGGUUCACCCUUGUGCCCAAUUUGUGAAGCAGUGGAUUAAUUGCUUCCGCCAUUUGAUAUUAUUAAUGACUAUGUAAUGGUCAUUUGAUCAGCUUGUGGUGGUCCUUAAAUGUCUUGUCAUACUCAAUGAUGUCCCAGAAAUUCGUUCUCUAAAUUUUGUGUUUAAUCCUCCCUCACUUCGAAGUCUUCCUUUUAACUAAAACACAAGUAAUAAUUGAGCUUCUAUUCACUAAAAUUGGGCAUAUUGAAUUGUACUGCUUCAUGAAACGUGUAGACUAUUUAGCUUGCUUAUUUAACGUUUUGUGCAGAUUCCUGAUGUUAGAACAGGUGACGAUGUUAUUGACGCUGCUGUCGUCGAUGAAGAAGCUGUUGGAAAUGUGGGGUGUGCUGGGAGAGGGGCUAAAAUUCUUUAUGGUAAGGGUGCAUUGGAUCGUUAUCUCACAGAGCAGAAAAGUGAUUCAGAGACCAUGGAAACAUCAGCCACAGAUCAUGAAGCAGACGCAGAACUUCCUUCCAUUGUUGCCAGCAUGUAAUGUUGCAAAUAUUACUGUUUGUUAUUUUUGUACAUAUAGUUGAUGCAAUUGUUGAAUAAUAUAAAUAUAAGGUUAUUUUCUACCGUCACCUCCGUGAUUAGUUUCGUUUCCACCGAUCAUAGAGCUAAAUUAAAUGCCACAUACAUGUAAGUGUGCAAUACCUGAUUCGUAUGUAAAUUUUCAGUGGCAUUAUUGGUGGAACCAAAAUGUGUAUCGUUAAAUAAAAUUAUUCAGCUUCGUUCCUAUUUUUGUUAUAGACAUUGGUCGUUCAACUUAAUAUUGAGUUCUGCAA